rnacentral:lncRNA from 1 species
UUAUUUAUUUAUUUAUUUAUUUAUGAGACAAGGUCUCACUCUGUCUCCCAGGCUGGAGUGUAGUGGCAUGACCUCGGCUUACUGCAACCUCCGCCUCCUGGGUUGAAGCGAUUCUCCUGCCUCAGCCUCCUGAGUAGCUGGGACUACAGGCACAUGCCACCAUGCCUGGCUAACUUUUGUUUCUUUUUAAAUAGAGGAUGGCUGUUUUGAGAGGAGUGUGAAAUACAUGAAGGCAGGACUUCCACACACCUGGACGUGAACUAGAGGUGAGGUGGGGAAAGACAGGAAGUAGAUCAGUGUUGCCCAGACCCUACCUUUUCCAACUAGGGUGUGGACCAUCCUUCAGAGCUUGGCCUCCAAGUUGGAACCCGUGUAUACCACUGACAGUGUUUCCUGGGAUGGUGAUAUUUAUCAAGUGCAGAGGCCCAGACACAGAGAGCUUGAGGACCUUUGUGUGAGACAGUGAAACCCUCAAAGGCAAGGGCUCUGUUUCAUGAGUUUUCUAUCUCCUGCUGCUGUCUCGGUGGGCCUGUUUGAGUUGACCUGUCCCGUCGGUAUUAGCAACUGGCAACAGUGGGUUUUUGUUAAAUACGGCAAAUAUUAAGAGUCGUCUCUGGGCAUUUUAGUUUAUUCAUUCAUUUGUUCAUUUAUUCCACAGGGAUUUAUUAUGCAUUUACUGUGUACUAACUAAUGGGGAGAUAGCAAUGAAGGCAGACUAAGUGUCUUUGUUCUAGUGCAGCCAUAUAGUCAGUGAAUGAAUGAGUGAGCAAGAUACAGGAGAGAAGUGAGGUAUGGCCCAUUAUACCAGAUAAAGUGAUAGAGAGGGGCUGGCGAGGAGAGCAGUCUAAUUUCAGGAAAGUCAGAAAAGUCUUUAAGGAAACUGAAGGCUGAGCUGCCAGGGCCAGCCACGUGGGUACUGGAGAGUGGGAGGCCCAGUCAGGGGGAAUGCUGGCUUAGCACAACUGAAAAAUACAAAGGUAGAAUAUGAAGUGUAAUGACAUGGUUUAGAUUGAAAUCUGAUGUGGAUGGAAAGGUUUUGUGGCCUUUCAGCCCAAGGUUUG